GCAUCUUUUCCAGAAGGCAAGAAAGGUCUUUUCCUGUUCUUUUUUUCUCUUUCAGUUGCAUUUGUGAAUAAUUUCAUAUGAGAAAGAAAGGAAAAGGAAUAUCUGGAGAUAUUCUUCAAGACACAGAGAAGACACCAUCCUGGAAAAAGUGGAUUCUUUACUGACUGAGACACCAGGAGGAUUCUUUACCACGGAGCCACCUGGGAAACCCUUGGGUUCCACCAUCAUAGCCAUAAUCUGUGGGGUUCUUGUCUUACAUAUCCAUGCUCUACUACAGAAGCAGCUAUUUACCGAAUAAAAAAAUUAUUUCACUAUUAGAAAAACCAGCUGACACAUCCUAAGAGCUCAUGUUCUUAAUAACAAAUAGAAGUUACAACCUAAGGUAAGAAUGUUAAACUAUUGAACUGAUAUGAAUUCACUUUGUAUUCAAAGAUCUA
rnacentral:lncRNA from 1 species